rnacentral:rRNA from 1 species
AUACGGAGGAUGCAAGCGUUAUCCGGAUUUAUUGGGUUUAAAGGGUGCGUAGGCGGUUUGCUAAGCGGGAGGUGAAAUGCCGGCGCUCAACGUCGGAAGUGCCUCCCGAACUGGUGGACUUGAAUGACUCUGCCGUGGGAGGAAUGCGUAGUGUAGCGGUGAAAUGCAUAGAGAUUACACAGAACACCGAUUGCGAAGGCAACUCACGAAGGGUUGAUUGACGCUGAGGCACGAAAGCGGGGGGAUAAAACAGGAUUAGAUACCCUGGUAGUCCACGCAGUAAAAGAUGAUGGCUAACCGCUGGGCUUAUCAGUUCAGUGGCCAAGCGAAAGCGAUAAGCCAUCCACCUGGGGAGUACGACCGCAAGGUUGAAACUCAAAGGAAUUGACGGGG